rnacentral:lncRNA from 1 species
GUUGUGUUGAUCUCCCCCAUCUUUUCCUUGUUUAGUCUUGCUGCUUUCACUGUCAGAUGCCCCAGACUUGUAGGAAACACCCACAGCCUUCCUUGAUUCUCUCUCCCUUGAUAACCUGCCUUCAGACUAUGUGCCUUGCCACCAUCUUCCUUCCAUCUCAUGUUCAUGCUGCUUUGACUCAUUACCUCCCUCCACAGUUCUGUAGUAUCCUCAUCUCCCAGUUCCUCGCUUGUUAAGAGCUGCUUAGCUUUAGGUCUUUAGCUUUUCUUGCUUUUCUGCCUAAGUGACCCUGCCUUAAGGAACCUGCCUUCUAGC